rnacentral:rRNA from 1 species
UCUUCCGCAAUGGACGAAAGCCUGUCGGAGCAAAGCCGCGUGAGUGAUGAAGGUUUUCGGAUCGUAAAGCUCUGUUGUUAGGGAAGAACAAGUGCCGUUCAAAUAGGGCGGCACCUUGACGGUACCUAACCAGAAAGCCACGGCUAACUACGUGCCAGCAGCCGCGGGAAUACGUAGGUGGCAAGCGUUGUCCGGAAUUAUUGGGCGUAAAGGGCUCGCAGGCGGGUUCGUUAGUCUGAUGUGAAAGGCCCCGGCUCAACCGGGGAGGGUCAUUGGAAACUGGGGAACUUGAGUGCAGAAGAGGAGAGUGGAAUUCCACGUGUAGCGGUGAAAUGCGUAGAGAUGUGGAGGAACACCAGUGGCGAAGGCGACUCUCUGGUCUGUAACUGACGCUGAGGAGCGAAAGCGUGGGGAGCGAACAG